UAUGCACGCUGGCGGCGUGCCUAAUACAUGCAAGUCGAGCGAACGGACGAGAAGCUUGCUUCUCUGAUGUUAGCGGCGGACGGGUGAGUAACACGUGGAUAACCUACCUAUAAGACUGGGAUAACUUCGGGAAACCGGAGCUAAUACCGGACAAUAUUUUGAACCGCAUGGUUCAAAAGUGAAAGACGGUCUUGCUGUCACUUAUAGAUGGAUCCGCGCUGCAUUAGCUAGUUGGUAAGGUAACGGCUUACCAAGGCAACGAUGCAUAGCCGACCUGAGAGGGUGAUCGGCCACACUUGAACUGAGACACGGUCCAGACUCCUACGGGAGGCAGCAGUAGGGAAUCUUCCGCAAUGGGCGAAAGCCUGACGGAGCAACGCCGCGUGAGUGAUGAAGGGCUUCGGAUCGUAAAACUCUGUUACUAGGGAAGAACAUAUGUGUAAGUAACUGUGCACAUCUUGACGGUACCGAAUCAGAAAGCCACGGCUAACUACGU
rnacentral:rRNA from 1 species